AAUUGCACAACGCCGUCCUCUGCAUUUGUUCUUCUCUCUCUCUCUCUCCGUGUUUGAAGUUAGAAACACUUCCACAGCUUCUUUCAAAACACUUCUCUUUUUUAUCUUCUUCAAUCUAUCUCACUGUACAUUCCAGGAACAGAGCAUCAUCAAUGGAAACCAACAAGUUUGCAAGCAUGUUGCAUAGAAACACCAACAACCUCACCCUUAUUCUCGUCUAUGCCAUACUAGAAUGGACUCUGAUCGUACUUCUCCUUCUUAAUUCUCUGUUCUCUUAUCUGAUCAUUAAAUUCGCCGAUUACUUUGGCCUCAAAAGGCCCUGCUUAUGGUGUUCUAGGAUUGAUCAUGUCUUAGAGCCUGGAAAGAGUAAAGUUUCUUAUAGAGAUCUUGUUUGUGAAGCUCAUGCCUCUGAGAUUUCCAAGCUGGGUUAUUGCUUUAAUCAUCGGAAACUGGCCGAGUCCCAUGAUAUGUGCGAGGAUUGCUCAUCCUCAUCGCAACCUGAUUGUCCAGAAUUAUCAAAAAGGUUUGCUUUCUUUCCAUUAAUAAACAAGAUUGGUUUUAUUCAGAGCAGUGAUCAGAAACUCGGUGGAAAUGGGGAGGAGAAUUUGAACUGCUCUUGCUGUGGCUUAAAUGUGGAAAGCAAAUUCUACUCUCCUUGUAUAUUGAUUAAGCCUUCUUGGGCGGAUUUCGAUUUCUCCCAUAAAGAGAAUUUGAUUGCGGAAACAGGGGUUGAUUCUCAAACUAAUGAAUGUGUACAUUCGGAUCGAAGCAGAUCGAAUUCCGAGACUAGUCUAUGCGAAGAUGAACGAAGUAUUGGAGAAAAGAAGGAAAUUCAGAUUAUUUCUGAUUUUGUAACUGAUGGUUGUUCUGGUAAAAGAGAACAGGAGGCAGAGGAGAAAUGUGAUGUAUUUGACUUUGGCUGGAAGGAACUGGUAGCUAUUGAAGACGAAAAAUUGGAAAUCGUUAAAGAAAAAAUGCAAGAGCUCGAAAAGGAGGAGAAUUUCAUUGAAUCCAUGGAUGAUCAGUCUUGUGAUCAGUCUAUGGCUCAUGUCAAUUUUAGUAAGGAAACGUCCCAUGAAACUUGGCCUCAGCAUCUCGAGUUUUUCAUUGAUGGUGAAGAUUGUACGUUGAUUGCAGUUGAAUUGAUAGGCUCUCCUGCCACAGAAGACGGAGAUCAACCAAGAUAUGGAGCGGAUGAUCAAGGAAAUUGUGAUUCAGACGUUAUUUUGGAAUUUAAUAUGCAUGCGGAGGAAAACGCCGAACCGUUGUCGGAGAAUUGGCAGAGUUCAGGUGAGAAUUUGGCAUUACUUUCAUCCCAUGAGAGCAAGGAGGCGCCCAAGGUUGCAGUGGUUGAAUCCGUAGUGAUGGUUGAGACUGACAGUACCUCUGUAAUGCAUACAGAAGGAGAUUUAUCGGAUUUAGUGUGGGAAGAAUAUGAACAAGCUGCUAUUACUCAACCAACUCAAACGCCGUCAAGUGAUGAUGAUCAUGAGGAGCAAGAAACUGCAGAAACAAGAAGAGAAAUGGAUUCAGAUGUUCCUAUAGCAUCUGAAGAAGUAAUUCAAACGCAGAGCUGUGAAUUUGAUGCAGAGAUCUCAAGCGGGGCAGAGAUUCUUGAUCAGAAACCACUUGAUGAGUCUCAACCCCAAGAGGUUCAUAAGAGCUGUGACUUUGAUGCAGAGAUCUCAAGGGGGGCAGAGAUUCCUGAUGAGGAACCACUUGAUGAGGCUCAACACCAAGAGGUUCUUCCAUCAUAUGAACGCAGGCAACAAUAUCCUUCCACCAGCUCCGUCAUGUUGCAUGUCAAUGAUGAUAAUGGUCCUAAGCCAGCUGAAGAAGAGGUUUUUUACUUCACAACCAUCUCAGUAGAAAGUAAUAAGCAAGCAAUAAACAAUCAUGUAUCGGUACGUUCAGAGCCUAAUGAAAUAGAGGAAGAGAAGGUUCCUGAUACACCUACUUCUGUGGAAAGCUUGCAUCACUUGCACAAGAAGUUGCUAUUGCUUGAGAGGAAGGAAUCAAGAACAGAAGAGUCCUUAGAUGGAAGUGUCAUUGGUGAGAUAGAAGGAGGUGAGCUGACAAUUGAGAAGUUGGAGUCAGCAUUGAGGGCUGAAAGGAAGGCUUUGAAUGCCUUAUAUGCAGAACUAGAAGAAGAGAGAAGUUCUUCUGCUGUGGCAGCUAACCAGACAAUGGCGAUGAUAAACAGGCUCCAGGAAGAGAAGGCUGCAAUGCAAAUGGAAGCAUUGCAAUAUCAAAGAAUGAUGGAAGAGCAAUCUGAGUAUGACCAGGAAGCUUUACAGCUUCUGAAUGAGCUUAUGGUCAAAAGGGAAAAAGAGAAGCAGGAGGUGGAAAAGGAGUUGGGAAUGUAUCGUAAGAAGGUCCAGGAUUAUGAGGCUAAAGAAAAAAUGAGGAUGUUGAGGAGAACAGAUAGUAGCACAAGAAGCAUUGCUUCUUGUAGCAAUGCCGAGGACAGUGAUGGACUAUCGAUUGACUUGAACCAUGAAGCAAAGGAAAGAGAUAGUUCCUUUGGAAAUCAAGAAAGUAGCAACCAAAACACUCCCACUGAUGCUGUUGUUUAUUUGGAGGAGUCCCUUGCAAACUUUGAGGAAGAAAGGCUAUCAAUUUUACAGCAGCUCAAGGAGUUGGAAGAGAAGCUUUUGACAUUGAGUGAUGGGGAGGAACAACACUUUGAGGAUCUCAUACCGGUUGAGAAUGGAAAUGGAUACCAUUAUAAUUCAGAUGCUGACAUUGAAGCAAAUGCUUUUGAAAAUGGUCAUUCCAAGGAAAUGAAUGGAAAGCAUCAUCAAGAGAUUAGCAUCAAAGGGUCAAAGGCAAGGAGACUUCUUCCCCUUUUUGAUGCUAUUGUUACAGAUGGUGAAGAUGCUUUGGGGAACGGACAUGAACAAGGGUUUGGUUCUGUUCCAUUUCAAACAUCCUUAGACACCAAGUUUGAAAUGGAGAAUAAGCUUGCUAUAAAAGAGGAAGUAGAUAAUGUAUAUGAGAGGCUUCAAGCACUUGAAGCAGAUAGGGAGUUUCUAAAGCACUGUGUCAACUCCUUGAGCAAAGGAGAUAAGGGAUUAAAUCUUCUCCAAGAGAUUUUAGAACAUCUUCAUGAUCUUAGGGGUGUGGAACUCCGAGUCAGGAAGAUGGUGGAUGGUCCUUUAUAUUGACUUUGAGCUUAAGUAUAUUCAUGAAGAUUUGUCAGGUAUAUCCAUCCUUGAAGAGUAUAGGUUUCUCUGUUGGAGUUGAUUGAGGCCUCCAAAUCAGGACAAAGAAAUACCAACUUUUGGGUACGUAACGAUACAUGGCAUUAAUGCACCUCAGCAUUUUCAUCCAAAAUUCAGUGGAAGCCUCCCAAGGACAGGGAGGUUUCUGGUAUGGUAUGUUUGGUGUCUUAGGUGGUCUGCAACACUGAAGUCUGCCUUCUUUUGUUUUUAAACAAAAAAGAAAGAAAAAGAAAACCAACCUUUUCUUUUUCCUUUCUUUUUUUUUUUUUUUUUUUUGGUAUCCAAGUGAGCCCAAAUUUUUGUGGGUAGUGCCCAUCACCACCUUUUGAGGGAAAGGAGGAUGAUGUGUGUAUGUGUGUAUAGGCUAGUCAU